rnacentral:rRNA from 1 species
AAACAUUAAAGGGCCGCGGUAUUUUGACCGUGCAAAGGUAGCAUAAUCGUUAGGUUUUUAAUUGAGAUCUUGUAUGAAGGGUUUGACAAAGAAAAUCCUGUCUCUAUAUUUGGUAAUUGAAAUUAACUUUUGAGUGAAAAGGCUUAGAUGAAUUAAAAAGACGAUAAGACCCUAUAAAACAUUAUAUUGGGGCGAUAAAAAUAAAAUGAGUAACUGUUUAAAAUUGAAAUUACUUAUAGGUAAAAUGAUCCUUAUUAAAGAUUAGAAGUUUAAGUUACUUUAGGGAUAACAGCGUUAUUUUUUUUGAGAGUUCUUAUCGAAAAAAGAGUUUGCGACCUCGAUGUUGAAUUAAAGUGUCUGUAUAAUUGUAGGAGUUAUAUUAGAGGGUCUGUUCGACCUUUAAAUCUUU